rnacentral:rRNA from 1 species
AGCGAACGCUGGCGGCAGGCCUAACACAUGCAAGUCGAACGAACCUUUCGGGGUUAGUGGCGGACGGGUGAGUAACACGUGGGAACGUGCCUUUAGGUUCGGAAUAACUCAGGGAAACUUGUGCUAAUACCGAAUGUGCCCUUCGGGGGAAAGAUUAAUCGCCUUUAGAGCGGCCCGCGUCUGAUAGCUAGUUGGUUGAGGUAAUGGCUCACCAAGGCGACGAUCAGUAGCUGGUCUGAGAGGAUGAUCAGCCACAUUGGGACUGAGACACGGCCCAAACUCCUACGGGAGGCAGCAGUGGGGAAUCUUGCGCAAUGGGCGAAAGCCUGACGCAGCCAUGCCGCGUGAAUGAUGAAGGUCUUAGGAUUGUAAAAUUCUUUCACCGGGGACGAUAAUGACGGUACCCGGAGAAGAAGCCCCGGCUAACUUCGUG